rnacentral:rRNA from 1 species
AUUGAACGCUGGCGGCAGGCCUAACACAUGCAAGUCGAACGAGUGGCGGACGGGUGAGUAAUGUCUGGGAAACUGCCUGAUGGAGGGGGAUAACUACUGGAAACGGUAGCUAAUACCGCAUACCAUCAGAUGUGCCCAUAUGGGAUUAGCUUGUUGGUGGGGUAACGGCUCACCAAGGCGACGAUCCCGAGCUGGUCUGAGAGGAUGAUCAGCCUCACUGGAACGGUGGCACGGUCCAGACUCCUACGGUAGGCAGCGGUGGGGAAUAUUGCGCAAUGGGCGCAAGCCUGGUACGGCCCUGCCGCGUGUAUGGAGAAGGCCUUCGGGUUGUAAAGUACUUUCAGCGGGGAGGCGUUACCCGCAGAAGAAGCGCCGGCUAACUCCGUGCCAGCAGCCGCGGUAAUAC